AGUAAUAAUAUUGUAGUCGGCGAAGCAGCUCGCGUGUGCCGCCGUUAUGUUGCAACUAAUUGUGUACAGUUUACUGAUAUUCCUGACUUGUUUAGCAGUAUUUGAUAUUAUAAGACUCUGUACGUAUGAUGAUGAGGCGUCUAAAAGAAAACUGAGAAUAUGGUCCGCCCCAUAUGAAGCGGUGAAGAAUUCUCUCAAAGGUAUGAAGACCCUGAAAGAGGAGGUGCCUCCACCAGGUCCUGACUCCAAGCCAUACACCAUUUCUGAAACAGUCUGAUGGAGAAGAAGAGCAGAUUUCUACUGCAUAUUGAUCUGCUGAGAGAUGAAUGAAUAUUAUCAUAAUUUUGUUACUUUUAGUUUAUAAACGAAUUAUGUUACCUUAUUUAUCUAGAUAUCUACAGAUAAAUAUUAAUCGUAUGGUGUUAAAAAUACAUGGUUUUGUAUGCGA